UACGUAGGGUGCAAGCGUUAAUCGGAAUUACUGGGCGUAAAGCGUGCGCAGGCGGUGAUGUAAGACAGUUGUGAAAUCCCCGGGCUCAACCUGGGAACUGCAUCUGUGACUGUAUAGCUAGAGUACGGUAGAGGGGGAUGGAAUUCCGCGUGUAGCAGUGAAAUGCGUAGAUAUGCGGAGGAACACCGAUGGCGAAGGCAAUCCCCUGGACCUGUACUGACGCUCAUGCACGAAAGCGUGGGGAGCAAACAGG
rnacentral:rRNA from 1 species